rnacentral:lncRNA from 1 species
GCUCGCCAUCGCCACGCCAUCCAUCACUAUUGCUGCUGUCAUGUUUACGUUCCAUCACUAGUGUUGAUAAUGGCUGUGUACGUGUCACAUAACACGAUGAUAUGAUAUGCAGUUUGCUGCAAUGGCGUCGUACAGUCAAAAUCGUCGUACUCUUCACCGGCUUGCUGUGGAACCUCCGUCUACGAGACAACCAGGGAAGGUGAGUGUAUAUGGCUUGGGCCCAUGCACCCACGGACGCUGAAAAUUCAUCUAUCGCAAUCUGUAUUCUGUAUAUCGUUUACGGGGCUCCGUGCUAAGCUGAAAUUGCGAGGCCGAUGGUAGGCGUGCAAAGGUAUGCUUGCGGGUAAGCACCAACAAUAGUCUAUAAACAGUGGCCUGGCAAGCAGGCCUGCUGCUGCGCGCGUGUCAAUACCCAUCUUGCAUUCCUUGACCCUGUACAUCUGUCGAUGUGCGCAUGCUCAAAAUGUUGUGCUCGUUGCGCCGAAUCAUGGUCGGGAGUCACCUGUCCGCAAGGCUCAUCACGAUAGUGUGCUGCUGUGUAGCGCGUGCGAGCUAGCGACCGAAUGCUAGCCAGUCCUUCCGCGCGCCAUUAGGUACCGAAUUUCCUGGUGCCGCAUGGACGCAUUGCGUACCUGUAUACCUGCUGCGCGCCUGCCUGUAUCCCUCCCCUGGCUCGCGUCCUGAACGAACCAACGUACCCCUACCUCGCCCAAGUGAGUGCACCAAGUGCGUGCUGACCUGCCUGGCAAACCCCCACAGAACGGCGGGAAGGGUGGGAAAAGAUAAGCUAUAUACCCAAAGCAAAAUUUUCGGCCAACGUGCAGUUUCCACGCGAACCACUGAUGUUGUGACUGAUGUGCAGUGUGCUGCAAUGGCGUGGUAAAGUCAAAAUGGUCGUACUCUUCACCGGCUUGCUGUGGAACCUCCGUCUACGAGACCACCAGGGAAAGUGAGUGCCAAUGGCCGUUGAUGUAGUAGCUGGCCACUGAAAAGGCUUCCCGAAAUGUUGAUGAAGCUUUUCGCGCGUAUUAUGAAGUUAAUUUGUGAGCCGAACUGAGUGUAUCAGAUAAUACAUUCCUCCCCCUUUCAAGGGAUCCACCCCUGCCCCCUACGGCCAUAUAUACUAGCCAGGGGGCCGCUGGUGAAGCUAUACCACCCGCAUUGGAUUCCUGUAGGAGUUUUUGAUAUUCCGAUUACUUAAGAUUUUGCUGCGACAUUACGACAUGAUGUAACAACAUCAUACUAGCCAGUCAUGUGCCCGACAUGUAUGCGCCUUACCGCUAAUUCAGCCGCAUAGUUUACACAGACGUCUACAGGACCUUCUGCCAAGCUUGGCAUAGUAAAUAACUGGUACAUGCAUAAGUAAUCUUAAGAUUACUUAUGCAUGUACCAGUUAUUUACUAUAAUACGCAAACCGUGUACGUCAUCGGGGUCGGAAAGGUAGAUAUGUACGAGAUUUCCAUACCCGAGAUACGAAAGAAAGAUCCUUGCGCACUCUGUGUGUCACCUACUAGAGUUGACGAAAAUCGUAUGCUCCAAAACUCGGUCCGGAUUACUCAAUCAGAGUAAUUAUAAUCCUCAAAAUGGCUUGCAUGCAGUGUGCUGCAAUGGCGUGGUAAAGUCAAAAUGGUCGUACUCUUCACCGGCUUGCUGUGGAACCUCCGUCUACGAGACAACCAGGGAAGGCGAGUGCCAUUAACCCGUCGUGACUAUAUCAAUGGCUAUGC